GGAUAACCUUGCCCCUUGGGUCCNGGGCAUAACCCCCGGGGAAAACUGGGGAUAAUCCCGGAUAACGCACAUAUGCUGGAAUGCUUUAUGCGUCAAAAUGAAUUCGUCUGCCCAAGGAAUGGGUCUGCGGCCUAUCAGGUAGUAGUGGGUGUAAUGUACCUACUAGCCGACGACGGGUACGGGUUGUGAGAGCAAGAGCCCGGAGAUGGAUUCUGAGACAUGAAUCCAGGCCCUACGGGGCGCAGCAGGCGCGAAAACUUUACAAUGCGGGAAACCGUGAUAAGGGGACACCGAGUGCCAGCGUCAUACGCUGGCUGUCCAGAUGUGUAAAAUACAUCUGUUAGCAAGGGCCGGGCAAGACCGGUGCCAGCCGCCGCGGUAACACCGGCGGCCCGAGUGGUGAUCGUGAUUAUUGGGUCUAAAGGGUCCGUAGCCGGUUUGGUCAGUCCUCCGGGAAAUCUGAUAGCUCAACUGUUAGGCUUUCGGGGGAUACUGCCAGACUUGGAACCGGGAGAGGUAAGAGGUACUACAGGGGUAGGAGUGAAAUCUUGUAAUCCCUGUGGGACCACCUGUGGCGAAGGCGUCUUACCAGAACGGGUUCGACGGUGAGGGACGAAAGCUGGGGGCACGAACCGGAUUAGAUACCCGGGUAGUCCCAGCCGUAAACGAUGCUCGCUAGGUGUCAGGCAUGGCGCGACCGUGUCUGGUGCCGCAGGGAAGCCGUGAAGCGAGCCACCUGGGAAGUACGGCCGCAAGGCUGAAACUUAA
rnacentral:rRNA from 1 species